rfam:Picea glauca, whole genome shotgun sequence.
GAAAUGGUGUCUUUGGACACCACCGAUAUUCUUUGGAAUAUUAUUG